rnacentral:tRNA from 1 species
CCCGGUGAAGCUCAGCAGGUGGAGCGACCCGUUGAAAACGGGAAGGUCGUCGGUUCGACUCCGACCGCCGGGA